AAAACAUUAUCCUUCAUUGCCACACUCUUCAUCUUUCUCACUCCAUUCAUCAUAACCCCACCCAUUAAAAGAGUCCUCCGUGACUUGACUUCGGUGUCAUAAAGAUCAAUUAUUCAGAGAAGCAAACGAUAGCUACGAAACUUUUUGGAUUCCCACAUCUUUUCAUCUCAUAUAAACCUUCGUUCACAUUCCAAUUAUACACAUUAUUCACCAUAUCUGAAAAAAGCUACAUCAAAUGGCUUUCAGAACCGUGAAAUCUUCCGGUAAAGCUCCACCGCUCAGUUCUUCAGUGACCUCACUCCGGGGUUUGGAGAGACUGAAUUGCGAUUUCUGUUAUGCAAUUUUGGGAAGCAAGUAAGGGGGCAUAUCAAUUGGGCUAGAGAUUCUGCUCAUCUUUGUACAUGGUACUGUCAUUGAAGGGUUUAUCUCCAAAUCGGGUUUCCCAAUCGCCUAAACCGUGGAACCAUCUUUAGCUUUGCCACGAUUUCACGUGAAAUAACCAAAUUUUAUAACCGUCUUUGUUCUUGCACAUCACAGAUAUGCAAUCUUCAACCCAAAAGUAAAAUUCUUAUUCUUUCUCACGUACGGUUGCUCCCACAACCAAAUCAUAUACUGGAUAUACCUAACCAUCUCCAAAAUUGCAACUCUAACAUGUCACGCAUACAGAGUUAUGUACGUUGCGGUCUCACCUGAUGGAAAAACGAUUGUAACCAGAGCACGAGAUGAAACCUUAAGGUUCUGGAAUGUCUUCCCGUCCAUGAAAACUCAGUCUCUAUACGCAGAACGAGGCAAUGCGGUUGGGUGAGAAUAGCAUGCCUCGCUGAUUAUGAGAUAUAUAUCGGCCUGAUUAAUGUGAUUUAAAACAACAUGAGGUAGAUCAGCGCAGCGGAUUCGACAGGACAACAUCAGCGUUCUCAUCGGCCCCACUAGACACUCCCACCGCCGAUCACCAGGUUCGCUUCUAUUCCUUAAAAAUAACUCGAAUAAGCAGUCAAUUGAAACUCCUUCAGAAGCUUUUGUGUCUCCCUCUCUAUAUAAAGUUGAAGAGGAGAGAGCUGGUGUACCUGUUUAGAGUCGUCUAUUUGAGGUACCAUCAUUGUUCUUUGCACGCAUGUAUAUGUUAACAUGGUUAACCUUUAGAGUCCUUGAAUCCAAUCUAUUUUUCUGACAUUUGAACUUGGUGAGGAGGCAUUGUUUCCCCAUGUACUAGAAUGGAGAUAAUUGGUGUGUGUGUAGAGGCCAGAAACAUUACAAGUUGGAGAUUGCAUAUCUUAACAAGGUUAGAUGUCUUUCACUAGAGUAUGUGUCGACUAAAGAUCCAAAUUUUACUAGAACAAUAAAAAAGUUUCUACGUGUAGUUUUUUUUACCUAUUGAGUUUUUUUUUGUAUUUUAAUAUUCAUAUAUAACCUUAGCUAUGUUGUUGAGAACUCCUGUAUAGAUGAUAAUAACACCAUUGGUUUGGUUUGGAUUGUUUUUCACCCAAGUCUGGCGCAGAAGGAGAUUUUAACGCUCUAGACUUUUUGCAGGCUCCAGUUGUCAAUGUAGGAUUUGAUGACAUAAUUUAACGGGGACGAUGAUACUUAUAGGAUUAGGAAGCUUGGCUUAAUGUGGAUCUCUCUUAGCUCCCCCACUGCUACGACUUUUUAAUGUUUGAUUAUUUUCAUACGCAAAAAAUUUAGUCUUACACAUAUAUUGUUAGUCCUUAUGCUAAAAUAAUAAAAUCAACAUUUAUAUGAUUA